AUUGUUAAAAUUUAAAUUAAUAUACAUGAUAAGCAAUUUGAGGUAAGCAUCACGACUGAAUUGAAUGAUAAAUACGUAUUGGUAUUGAAUUUAUUAAUAGUAAUUGUUGAAUUUUGAAUAAUAUGUUUAGUAUUAAAAAAAUAGAUGAAUAUUGAUAUUGAAUUGUACAUGAAUUCGAUUGGAAAAUGAAUUAAAAAUAUAUAUAUGAAUGGAAUAAAAGUGAAUUAAAUUGUGAAUAAGUGUGAUAUAUGUGAAUGGUGGAAUAAGUAGUAAAUUGUAAUGACGGAGAAAUGAUAAAU
rnacentral:lncRNA from 1 species